CAUGGAUGGGCUGGGAAGGGAGAAUGAGACACAUGGAGAGGGUUGGGGGGAAAUGAUAUGCAUGCCCAAGGGCAAUUUUCACACUGGGGGUUGGUGGUUUCUAGUUAUGCCUCUGAUCUGUUAUUUUCAUGUGCAAAAAAAGACACUCUAUUGUAUUUGACCCUGUUAGGCUGGACGAAUCACCACAUUGUCUGGAAACCCUUACGCUGCCAUGGACUUAUGC